rnacentral:tRNA from 1 species
UAAACAGGAUGUUUAGACAUAUGUUUAAAUUCUACGGUUCUUAAAGACCAUAAAUUUAAAAAAAGGCUUUAUGAARAAAGCUCUUUAAGCUUUUCCAGUGAUUUAAGAUGAUACCGGGGAAGGUUUUCCGGUUUAUCCCGGAGGGCUUGUAGCUCAGUUGGUUAGAGCGCGCGCUUGAUAAGCGUGAGGUCGGAGGUUCAAGUCCUCCCAGGCCCACCAAUUUAUGCUCGUUUUUUGCUUAUCCAAGAGUAUGAAGCUUAAGCGUAUUAAAGCCUCUUUUAAUCUUUGUUUAUUUUAAAGAUUUAAUUUUAUCAUUCAAAGAUUGUUUGUUAAAUUUAUUCUAUUAAGUUUGUCAAAGGGGGAGUUUGUCAAAGGAGGUUUUUAAAUCCCUUCAUUUUGAAAUUCCUUCAAGGUAUAGAGAAAUUUAAAUGAUGUAUAGAGAAAUUUAAAUGAUGCAAAUCAAAAUAGU